UCCGGGGGGUCCGCCGCUUCCAGGGCUCGCCGCGCGGUCCCGGCCCCCGGAAGGACGCCGGCCCUCAGGUCCUCCUCGGGGCGAUAAUAUGUGGAGCCUCACUUUCGGGCGGCAAGGGAAACAAAGAUGACGGCGCUUGGCCCGGUGGCGCGGAGGGCCCGCCCGCCCGCCCGCCGCUAUUGUGUGGCCGCCUGACGGAGCAGCAGCGCUAUUUUUCUUACUCCCAACGUGGUGAUCCGGUGGCAGCAGAGGGACUUACAAGGAGGCUUUGUCUGCAGAAGAGCUGCUGCGACACGGCCUCUCCUGAAUGGCCGCCCGGCCGCCUUCCGCGGGCACCGCCCGCAAUUUUUUUUUUUUUUCCCAUAUCAAUUAGAGGGGGGAAAAAUCUGCAUUUUCCUCCCCACCUUUUUCUUCAGAUUUGAGCCCCGGUGUCUGCCGCAGGAAAGAGCUGCCACCCGCCUUGACUUUACCUCCUUUAUGUUAGUCGUCAGCCACCCGAAAACUGUUGACGUAACCGAGGGCUUUAUGGGCCCUUCAGCAGCAUCCAGAGCUGUCUCGGGAAUAAUGAGGAAACGGUGGAGGUGGGCGAUGCUCAGGCACACGGAGCGCCCGCGUUUGUUUGGUUGAAUCCACCCGGGUGCCUCCGACGCAGGCCCCGGCGGGGGGGGGGGGGGAGGACAGGGAGCUCACAGCCACUUGGGGAGCCAGGGAAGGUGCCAGCGGGAGGAGGAGAGGCAGCUGGGCCCAGGAAGGGCUGGCAGUCCCCCGAGAAGCCCUCCACUGUGGGAUUACACAGCAGCCUGUGUAAUAUUCUAUUCACAAUAUAAUAAUAGCAGCAAGGUUUGGAUUUACAACUCCUUCCUGCUGCUCUCCCAUACCCCUCUUUUAUUUCUUCACUGCGUUUAUAACCACCUGAUAACGUCGUGUAUUUUUACACAUUUAUUGGCGUCUCUCCCCACUUGCUACUUGUGUACUGUCGUUCCCUGGAGCCUAGAGCGGUACCUGGCAAAGUACUGGGGGCUUUGCAAAUAUUUAGUGAAAUGGGUGAUUUCCAAACAGACGUGACGCGUGACGUAAAGGCCUUGUGAGGGAAUCACCAACCCGGAAGCCACGUGACGCCAGGAAAAUGGAUCUCGUCAAACGUGCGCUUUGCGUCGUGGAGCCGUAAUUGAUAAGGAAUAAGCCAAAAGAUAGUCACACCACCAUUCCGUUUUCCAAAGAAGAAUAGGAAGAUAAAUGAGCUGGCGCUUUCAGCCCAAGACAUAGCUUACAUGGAGAAAAUCAGGUGCAUGAAGCUUUCAAACUUGCCCGGAACCAUACAGCUCGUUAGCCUCUUAGAAGACUGGCGAAAAGGAUACCCUGGGCCAGUGUUUCCCUGAGAUUCACUUACAUGUGACUACAAAUACUGGAAGUGUCUCAUCUGAUGUCUGCUGGGAUUAUACUGAAAAUGAAUUUUUUAAGAACGCAACUGCGUAGUUAAUGCAGUUCAAGCUGUUUCCUGAGAAACAGAAAUAACCCUAGGCCAGCACUACGUCAAAAAAAUCAGAAUUAUGGUCAUGUGUUCUGCCCUUUCUGCCUAACAUAAAAAUAUAGAAAACAAUUUAACAUUUAACAUACAUGUUACUCAUCACCUAUUUUCUGCAUUUUUUUUUAUCAAGGAAUAGUCUAUACAUGGUAUUU